rnacentral:rRNA from 1 species
GGAUUAGAUACCCUGGUAGUCCACGCUGUAAACGAUGAUCACUAGGUGUUGGGGGUCGAACCUCAGCGCCCAAGCUAACGCGAUAAGUGAUCCGCCUGGGGAGUACGCACGCAAGUGUGAAACUCAAAGGAAUUGACGGGGACCCGCACAAGCGGUGGAGCAUGUGGUUUAAUUCGACGCAACGCGAGAAACCUUACCAGCGUUUGACAUCUUAGGAAGAACUUAGAGAUAAGUUUGUGCCGGCUUGCCGGAACCUAAAGACAGGUGGUGCAUGGCUGUCGUCAGCUCGUGCCG